rnacentral:lncRNA from 1 species
UUUGUAGGAAAAAUCAGACUCCCGGACAGCAUGAAAUGGGAUGAAAAACUCACUAUUGUUGACAAAGUGAUUGACGAUCUUGGACUACGUAAAUGUGAAAACACUGUUUUAGGAGGUGAUUUUUAUACAAAAGGAUGUUCAGGGGGUGAAAGAAAACGAUGCAGUAUUGCUGUAGAACUAAUAACUAACCCUGCAUGCAUAAUUUUAGAUG